UACGGAGGAUGCGAGCGUUAUCCGGAUUUAUUGGGUUUAAAGGGUGCGUAGGCGGACUGUCAAGUCAGCGGUAAAAUUGAGAGGCUCAACCUCUUCCCGCCGUUGAAACUGGUGGUCUUGAGUGGAUGAGAAGUACGCGGAAUGCGUGGAGUAGCGGUGAAAUGCAUAGAUAUCACGCAGAACUCCGAUUGCGAAGGCAGCGUACCGGCAUCCAACUGACGCUGAGGCACGAAAGCGUGGGGAUCAAACAGG
rnacentral:rRNA from 1 species